AAGUCGAACGGUAACAGGAAGCAGCUUGCUGCUUUGCUGACGAGUGGCGGACGGGUGAGUAAUGUCUGGGAAACUGCCUGAUGGAGGGGGAUAACUACUGGAAACGGUGGCUAAUACCGCAUAACGUCGCAAGACCAAAGAGGGGGACCUUCGGGCCUCUUGCCAUCAGAUGUGCCCAGAUGGGAUUAGCUAGUUGGUGAGGUAACGGCUCACCAAGGCGACGAUCCCUAGCUGGUCUGAGAGGAUGACCAGCCACACUGGAACUGAGACACGGUCCAGACUCCUACGGGAGGCAGCAGUGGGGAAUAUUGCACAAUGGGCGCAAGCCUGAUGCAGCCAUGCCGCGUGUAUGAAGAAGGCCUUCGGGUUGUAAAGUACUUUCAGCGGGGAGGAAGGUGUUGUGGUUAAUAACCGCAG
rnacentral:rRNA from 1 species